rnacentral:rRNA from 1 species
CAAGGGGGCAAGAAAUAGACGGCCACAGUUUAAAACAAGCAAGGUAGCAUAAUCAUUUGCCCAUUAAUUGUGGGCUAGAAUGAACGGACCAACGAAAUAAAGACUGUCUCUAUAAGCCCAAUAAAAAUUAAUCUCUAACUGAAGAGUGUUAGAUAGAAUCGAAGGACAAGAAGACCCUAUAGAGCUUUAUCCAACAACACAUUAUUAUUUGUUUUGAGGAUUCGGUUGGGGCGACCUGGGAAAUAAUUAAUCAUCCCCCAAAAAAAGAUGUAUAAAUCUCUAUUAUGACCCUUAAUAAAGAUCAAAAGACCAAGCUACCUUAGGGAUAACAGGCUAAUCCCUCUAAAGAGUCCUUAUCAAUAGUGGGGUUUGGCACCUCGAUGUUGGCUUAGGGAACCUAUGUGGCGCAAAAGUCACAUAAAGAUGGUUUGUUCAACCAAUAACACCCUACAUGAGCUGAGUUCAGACCGGCGUAAGCCAGGUUAGUUUCUAUCCUCGACAAUGCAACCUAUUUAUAGUACGAAAGGACCUAAAUAAGGAUAAUUAUUAUAUACUAAGAAUCAAUAUAAUAAAACCAUAAAAAUUUUAAUACAUAUCCUA